rnacentral:rRNA from 1 species
GACGAACGCUGGCGGCGUGCCUAAUACAUGCAAGUAGGACGCACAGUUUAUACCGUAGCUUGCUACACCAUAGACUGUGAGUUGCGAACGGGUGAGUAACGCGUAGGUAACCUGCCUGGUAGCGGGGGAUAACUAUUGGAAACGAUAGCUAAUACCGCAUAAUAUUGAUUAUUGCAUGAUAAUUGAUUGAAAGAUGCUAUUGCAUCACUACCAGAUGGACCUGCGUUGUAUUAGCUAGUAGGUGAGGUAACGGCUCACCUAGGCGACGAUACAUAGCCGACCUGAGAGGGUGAUCGGCCACACUGGGACUGAGACACGGCCCAGACUCCUACGGGAGGCAGCAGUAGGGAAUCUUCGGCAAUGGACGAAAGUCUGACCGAGCAACGCCGCGUGAGUGAAGAAGGUUUUCGGAUCGUAAAGCUCUGUUGUAAGAGAAGAACGGGUGUGAGAGUGGAAAGUUCACACUGUGACGGUAUCUUACCAGAAAGGGACGGCUAACUACGUG